rnacentral:lncRNA from 1 species
AAAUAUUUUAUCAAAAAAUAUAUAUCAUUAAUUAAAUAUUUAAAUCAUAAAAAAUAAGAUAAUAAUAUAUAAAUAAACUUAAUAUCUUCUCCAUUAACAUUGAGAAAUAUGGAGAUAUACAACUUGCAACACUUUGAACCAUUGAAGUUCCCCCACCAUCCAAAACCAAAUAUUAAAAAGAAAGAAAAGUGAAGAAUUGUUUCAACAACUCUUGACAAUAAGAGUUAGAUCAAAAGAUGCAUGUGAAAAACUAAAUUUCAAAAGAAUAAAUUUUUAGUUAGAAAUGAACAAUAGAAGAAUUAAAAGAAGGUCAAGAAAAAAUGUAUAGGAGAAUACUAUCGAGAAAAAUGAAAAAAAAAUAGAAAAUAGAAAAAUAAUUUGAAGAAAGAUAUUAGCAUUCAUAUCUCAUUUAAGAGAAUUGAAGCAGAAAAAACACCCCUGAAAAUAGUGUAUCUAAUGUAUAUUGAGGGCACAGAUGAACCAUCUGCCAUGGAAGAGGGUUAGGAAAUUCAAGUAAUUUUCUCAAUCAAAGAAAAAUAAAUGGGAAAGGAAAUGCACACCUAAAUGACACAAAUACAAUUCCACCUCAAGUUAAAAAGUGGGGUAUAAAGAAAAAUCUCUCAUUCAACUACUAUUAUACAAAUCUUUGUAUUAGAA